CCUACGGGGGGCAGCAGUGGGGAAUAUUGGACAAUGGGGGCAACCCUGAUCCAGCCAUGCCGCGUGUGUGAAGAAGGCCCUCGGGUUGUAAAGCACUUUCAGUGAGGAAGAACGCCUGGUGGUUAAUACCCAUCAGGAAAGACAUCACUCACAGAAGAAGCACCGGCUAACUCCGUGCCAGCAGCCGCGGUAAUACGGAGGGUGCGAGCGUUAAUCGGAAUUACUGGGCGUAAAGCGCGCGUAGGUGGCUUGAUAAGCCGGUUGUGAAAGCCCCGGGCUCAACCUGGGAACGGCAUCCGGAACUGUCAAGCUAGAGGGCAGGAGAGGAAGGUAGAAUUCCCGGUGUAGCGGUGAAAUGCGUAGAGAUCGGGAGGAAUACCAGUGGCGAAGGCGGCCUUCUGGACUGACACUGACACUGAGGUGCGAAAGCGUGGGUAGCAAACAGGAUUAGAUACCCGGGUAGUC
rnacentral:rRNA from 1 species